rnacentral:rRNA from 1 species
AUUGAACGCUGGCGGCAGGCUUAACACAUGCAAGUCGAACGAGCGGCGGACGGGUGAGUAAUGUCUGGGCAACUGCCUGAUGGAGGGGGAUAACUACUGGAAACGGUAGCUAAUACCGCAUACCAUCAGAUGUGCCCAGAUGGGAUUAGGUAGUAGGUGGGGUAAUGGCUCACCGAGGCGACGAUCCCUAGCUGGUCUGAGCGGAUGACCCGCCAAACUGGAACUGGGACAAGGUCCAGAAUCCUACGGGAGGCAGCAGUGGGGAAUAUUGCACAAUUGGCGCAAGCCUGAUGCAGCCAAGCCGCGUGUGUGAAGAAGGCCUUCGGGUUGGAAAGCACUUUCAGCGAGGAGGCGUUACUCGCAGAAUAAGCACCGGCUAACUCCGGGCCAGCAGCCGCGGUAAUUC